AACGAACACUGGCGGCAGGCCUAACACAUGCAAGUCGAACGCCCUGGCAACAGGGAGUGGCAGACGGGUGAGUAACGCGUGGGAACGUGCCCUUCGGUUCGGAAUAACUCAGGGAAACUUGAGCUAAUACCGAAUACGUGCGAGAGCAGAAAGAUUUAUCGCCGAAGGAUCGGCCCGCGUCCGAUUAGCUAGUUGGUGAGGUAAUGGCUCACCAAGGCGACGAUCGGUAGCUGGUCUGAGAGGAUGAUCAGCCACACUGGGACUGAGACACGGCCCAGACUCCUACGGGAGGCAGCAGCGGGGAAUAUUGGACAAUGGGCGCAAGCCUGAUCCAGCCAUGCCGCGUGAGUGAUGAAGGCCCUAGGGUUGUAAAGCUCUUUCGCCAGGGACGAUAAUGACGGUACCUGGAUAAGAAGCCCCGGCUAACUUCGUGCCAGCCGCCGCGGUAA
rnacentral:rRNA from 1 species